rnacentral:rRNA from 1 species
UACGUAGGGGGCGAGCGUUGUCCGGAUUUAUUGGGCGUAAAGAGCGUGUAGGCGGCUUGUUGCGUCGACCGUGAAAACCCGGGGCUCAACUUCGGGCUUGCGGUCGAUACGGGCGGGCUAGAGUUCGGUAGGGGAGACUGGAAUUCCUGGUGUAGCGGUGAAAUGCGCAGAUAUCAGGAGGAACACCGGUGGCGAAGGCGGGUCUCUGGGCCGAUACUGACGCUGAGGAGCGAAAGCGUGGGGAGCGAACAGG